UACAUAUGUGGUUAUGUAUAUACGUUAACUUGUUAAGAGUUUUUACUAUUAAAUAUGUUUAUUAAAUAUAGAUUAUAUUAGUGUGAAAAUUUAUUUUAUUAAAAGAUUUUUAAUAUGAUUGUUAAACUUGUUUUCAAUAUAUAUAUUUAUACAAUGAAUGAGAGUUUUAUAUAGAUAUUAUGAGUUAUGAUUGGUUAAAUUUGUGCCAGCAGCUGCGGUUAUACAAAUAAUUAAAGUUAAGAGUUUUUGGUGUUAAAAAAAGUUUAGAAAGAUAAGAUUUAUAAAAGGGUUAUGUAGUGUUAAUUUUUAGGUAAAAUUAUUAGAUUAAUAUGUUGAUUUUUUACUUUUUGAAUUUUUAUACUUUGAAAAUUAAAUAAUAAACUAGGAUUAGAUACCCUAUUAUUUUUAUAUUGUAAAAUUUAAUUUGAGUUUGCCCAAAUAUUAUGAUAUAAGUAUGUGUGCAUUUACAUAUGUGUGCAUAUAUGUGUAUGUUAAUAUAUACUUGUGUGUGUGUGUAUGUGUGGGUGUACGGGUGCGAAGAAUUAUUAAAAUUUAAAAAGUUUGGCGGUCUCACAUAUCCAGUUAGGGGAGUUUGUUAAUUAGGUUGAUAAUCCACGAUUUAGACUUACUUUUUUAUGAAUAUAUAUAUAUAUAUAUAUAUAUAUAUAUACAGUUUGUGUAUUGCUGUCGGAAGUUUUUUUUUUAAGAUUAAAAACUGGUAAAUGUUAUCGAUUUAUAUGUCAAGUCAUAAUGCAGUUGAUAAAAAAGGUUUAAUGGGCUACUGUAAAAAAUCUUUUUCCGGAUAAUAGGAUUUAAUUAUGUUAGAAAGGUGGACUUAAUAGUAAAUUACAAUUAGUAUGUUUAAUUGAAUUAUAGGUUUUGUGGGGUGUACAUAUUGCCCGUCACUCUUGUUUUAAGAUAAGAUAAGUCGUAACAUAGUAGAGGUAAUGGAAAUUGUUUCUGGAUAAAU
rnacentral:rRNA from 1 species